rnacentral:rRNA from 1 species
GACGAACGCUGGCGGCGUGCUUAACACAUGCAAGUCGAACGGUGAAGCUCCAGCUUGCUGGAGUGGAUCAGUGGCGAACGGGUGAGUAACACGUGAGCAACCUGCCCCUGACUCUGGAAUAAGCGCUGGAAACGGCGUCUAAUACUGGAUACGAGAAGGGUCCGCAUGGGCACUUUCUGGAAAGUUUUUCGGUUGGGGAUGGGCUCGCGGCCUAUCAGCUUGUUGGUGAGGUAAUGGCUCACCAAGGCGACGACGGGUAGCCGGCCUGAGAGGGCGACCGGCCACACUGGGACUGAGACACGGCCCAGACUCCUACGGGAGGCAGCAGUGGGGAAUAUUGCACAAUGGGCGAAAGCCUGAUGCAGCGACGCCGCGUGAGGGAAGACGGCCUUCGGGUUGUAAACCUCUUUCAGCAGGGAAGAAGCGAAAGUGACGGUACCUGCAGAAGAAGCACCGGCUAACUACGUG